rnacentral:tRNA from 1 species
GCCGGGGUGGCGGAAUCGGGAGACGCGGCAGACUUAAAAUCUGCUGGGGCUCCGCCCCGUGGGGGUUCGACUCCCCCCCUCGGCACCA